rnacentral:lncRNA from 1 species
UCCCUGUCAAGAACAUGGAAUAACACUCCUAAGCCUUACAAUAUAUAGAAAAUGUUGUGGCCAUAUCCAUCACUGAAAUGUGUUUGAAUUGUUACCCAAAAUUAAAGUGGGGAGUAGCAACUCCAGAGGCUUCUCUGGUGCCCCAACUGCCACCAGUUUCCCAUGAGACUUCAAUAGAUCAAUCAAUGGCAUUAGAGGAUGAACUGCAAAAACAGUGUCAAUUAUACCAUCCAAGGUGCAUAUUGCAGCCUGCAUGAACAGUUACACGAAUAUGUCAUAUUGCUUUCUCACUCUUGUUUGGUUAAAAUCAAAGAGAUGAGUCAAACAAGAUUGUAAUUAACUCAAUCCUAGAAAAUAAAUUACAUAUAAUGGUCCCAUAGAAACAACAACAAUUAGUAUACCAUAUAUAGUUUCAACUUAAUUCAAUUCACUUGUAAAGUAAAAACUAUUUCACAUUUUGUAUGUUAUGUUAUUUUUAGUUCAUUUUAGAGUUUUUUUACGAAAAUGGGAUAAUUUUCUCCUUUUUAUCAUAACUUCUGAAAGUAUUAUGGGUUUAGAUAAGUUAGGCUAACAUGACAAGAUUUUUCUGACACUUCAAAAUGAAAUCGUGUUAAGGUGUCACAACUUUAGUUUAACCAGUUUAAACUGAAGUCAUGUCAGCUUAUCAACUUGACAUAUCAGAAAUUAUAUUACCUUAUUAACAAUUUUAGUGUAACCAGUUUGAACUGAAGUCAUGUCACCUUAUUGACUUGACAUGUCAGACUUUUUCAAAAUAAAGUUAUGUUACACAAUUUUUUCAUGAUUUUGUAUUACCUUGUCAUAAUUUUUUCAAAAUGAAAUUGUGUCAGUUAGCACAAUUUUUUCAUAUUGAUAAUUUUUUCAAAAGUAAUAAAAAAGGGAGAAAGUCUCACUUUCAUAAAAGUUCUUAUUUUGGGAAGCAUGGUGUGAAGGAAAAAAACAAAAUAGUCACCUUCAUUUGAUCUUGGUCUCUGCUGACCACAAAGGAAUCUGCUCCAAGAUGUUGAAUGGCUUCUUCUUUCUUAUUAGGAGAGGUACUAAUGACAGUGACCUUCAAGCCAAGGGCUUUUGCAAACUUGACAGCCAGAUGGCCCAGUCCUCCAAGGCCAACCACUCCCAGGUGCAAACCAGGUUUAUCAAGGCCAAAAUAUCUCAAAGGGCCAUACACUGUGAUCCCUGCACAUAGCAGAGGAGCAGCAGCAUCAAGAGGUAGGCCAUUGGGAAUGCUGACAACAAAGUGUUCAUCUACAACCAUGAAGUCAGAGAAUCCCCCAUAUGUGAUGCUCCCAUCCACAUACUUGGCACCAUAUGUGUGAAUCAAUUUUUGACAGUAAUUCUCAAGAUUGUUGACACAGUUUUGGCAUGAGUGACAAGACCCAACCAAGCAUCCCACAGCCACCUUCUCUCCAACCUUAAACUUUUUUACUUUGCUUCCCACCUCUGUCACUUCUCCAACAAUCUCACGCCUGCAAAUUUUUUUUAUAUCAGCAAAAAUAAAUAAAUAAAUAUGAAUCAUUUCAAAAGUGGUUUACUCCUUAUACAAAACAAGAUACUUUUGACUUAACCUUUCUUUUUGCAACUUACUAAAACCCAACAAGAUUAACGACAAAAUAAACACCCUAACCAAAAGACAAGCUUUACACAUACUGACAAAGCCUUCAAAGUCAACCAUCUCAAACAAAAGGUCUUGAAGUUCACAGUGACUUAAUUAGAAACAUACAAACCAGAGAGUUAAUGCACCAAUUAGAAAAAAACAAUUAUCAUAAAAAUUUGAGAUCAAAGAAGCACAAGAUUUUACAUGUCUAAUAAUAGCUCUGUUAUACUGUGAUUAGAUAUUUACAUGGUCUUUACCAUUUCUUUCUUCUCUUAUCUCAUUUCUCUCCUUUUCUUUGCAUACAAAAUAUCCAUUUUCUAUAUUUGUAUCAUACUUCUUUCUUACCUACUUACAAAUCAUUUUGUAAAAGGAACAAGGUAAAAGACACAAACAUUAUUAGAAAAGAAGAAGGAGAAAUCAUACCCAGGAACAAGUGGAUAAAUGGAAUCACUCCAUUCAUUCUUCAAUUUGUGAAGGUCUGAGUGACAUAUUCCACAGUACAACACCUUGAAUGUCACAUCUUUCUCACCUGUUUUUCUGUUAUUCCAAACACCAUUUUAGAACUCUAAUUUUGUUGUUUAAAUUGAUUAUCGAUUCACAUAGUAAUAUUAUACAAAAACUCCUUAUAUAAGAUGACUAAUAUCUUAAAAAUGAAACUUUUCGAGUUUUAAGUAAAAUUUGUUAAAGUUUUUAUAACAAAAAUGAUACUAUAAUUUAAUAUAUUGAUAGUAUUUUUCAAUUUUUUACACAGAUAAAAUUGUCUGUUAAUUAGUAUUUACUAAAUAAAGUUCUAAUGUUUAUACUAAUUUUUUUUUUAUUAAAAUAUUAUACCAAGGAGAGCUACUAUAUAUACCCACUGUUUCCAGCGUGUAAUAAACAAUAGUUUGUAGGUGAGUGAGACUUGGAUAAAGUUUAAUUUCUUAUUUUAAUUUUUUUAUUUCCUAUAUUAUUUUAAUUGAUUUUACUUCAUACCUUGCAAAAAUUAUUAAGAUUUUUUAUUUAGAAUUCUUCGUAUAAAUCUAACAUAUUAGAUUCUCAUCUUCUUUUACAAUAUCCAUAUUUCUUUAGUUUUAAAAGCAAUACACUUUCCAUCCAUCACUAAAUAAAAAUCAAUUCUAGAUAAAAAAAAUAAUUAGUUGUUAUAUUGACUAAAUUAUAUAUUAUUUUAUAGACUAAAAAAUGAUUAAUUUCUAAAUUAGUUUCUAUUAUUGAUAAAUAGUUUCUAAAUUAGUACCUAAUUAGCUACUAAAAUUUUUGCGACCAAAUUUAGAAUCUAAAUAAUUGGUAGUUAAAAUAUUGGUAGUUAAUUAGAUACCAAUUUAGACUUUAUUUAUCAAUAAUAGAAACUAAUUUAGAAAUCAAUAAAUAUUUUAGUCUCUAAAAUAGUAUCUAAUUUAGUCAAUAUAACAAUUAAUUAUUUUAAAUCUCUAAAAUUAGUUUUUAUUUAAUAAUUUUCUAAUAGGACAGAAUAACUUUCUAAUAAUGUUCGAUCGAUUACAUAUUAAUCAAUAUUCGAUUUAAUGGAAUGAGGUUAUCAACAAAUUUUUUUAUCUAAGUCACUGAAAUUAUACAAGAUUAUACACGAAAGAUUCUUAUUUGGCUAGCCUUAUGUCUCUUAUCCUAGGUCUUCCUCCACUAGGAGGUGCAUAUAUGAUGCAAAAUUUUCUAGAUAUCAUGAAAUACUCAGUAACUUGUUGAAAAAAUAUGUAAGAAAGCUAAAAUGGGAUGCUUUCAAGUAUAUUUACAUAACUAUGAAGAAAUUAAGGUUUAAAAUAUUGAUUAUCCUAAUUGAGAGGAGAAUGAAAGACCUUCUGGAGAACAAAAAUGGGGAGAGAACACCAGAUGUAUCCCUAGCAGCCCAUCCAUAGGCCUUCCUUGGAUGCUCAACUUCAGGUUCCACUGCCAUUUCACUCAAAUCUGCAACUCAGAAACAAAGUAAACUCCCAGAAAAGUUAAAGAAAGGAGUAACAAAAACUGUGUUUAGUGUGUGAGAGAGAUGAAUAAGUAACUGAUGUGUCUUAAGAAAGCCAAGUUUAAGGAUAUUUAUAAGAUGGAAAGUGGGGCCUUCUGGUGUCUGCUGUCUGCUGCAUUGACGUAUCGAAUGACCUCCUUCAUCUGAUACUAAAUAAAAUAUGAGUACCUUGCUAGCAUAAUUAAGAAAAACUAAUCACAGAUAUUAUAUAUGUUUCUGUGAUUAAUGCUAUUGAUUAAUGAAUGCAAUUCUAGAGCUAUCAGUGAUCUGCAAUAUGUGUUGACCAAUUAAUGCUAGAGCCGCCAGCAAAAGUAUAUGCAUUGAAUCAAUGAAUACUUGCAAUGGAAUCGAUUGGAUUAAUUACUUUUAAAAUAUAUGUGGUUACUUUUUCAAAUUCUAUUUUGAUUGUAUUUAUGUUUUAAGUAGUUAUGUAAAAGUUGGUUUGCUUAAACAUGUUUAGUGUAAUAUUUUAUUUAUAGUUUUUUUUUUGGGUGGUGUUAUUAGUAUAUAAGAUCUCUAAAAGCUGUAUUUAAGUUUUUUAAUAGCAUAUUUUAUUUUGAGAGUUUAAGUGGAUUUUUUAGGCCCAUACUAAAUUUAUGCUCGAGAUGACUCUUUAAGUGACUAACUCUCUUAAUGUAAUGUUUAAUUUUGACUCAGUUGUGUGUAAUGUAUGGUGUAUAUUUUUUUUAUUAUUGUUUAAUGUUAAAUGUUCUAUUAUCGAGAAAAAUAAGUGUGGUUAACUAUCAUAGAGGUUGCAUAAAGAAGAAGAAAUUAAUUUUGCAUGGGGCAAAUUAAAUGCUUCUCAAAUUAAAGCACAAUAGAUGGAAGGAGAAAAAGAAAAAAAAAACAUUGAUUUGAGUUCAAAGCUACUUGAUGCUAAGAAAAAAAAAGCAAUAACUAUUUUAUUCAAGUUUAUAUAGAUUAGGGAUGACAAUGCGAGACAAACUCACUAAUCUAACUUUUUAAUCCCCUUUGGUUCGUCUUGCAUAACCCACAACCCGCACGGGCCAACAAUAGGCGAAUUGGUCCGCGUAAAAAAAAAAUAAUUAUUUUUUUUAUAUAUAAAAAAAAUCAUACCUCAUUCAUCCAUUAUUGCAGUGUGGCCUUUAUUUUAUUUUAUUUAAAAUAAAUAAAUUUAAUGUACUAAAAAAUGGAUGUUUUAUUUUAAUUAGGUAAAAGAGUUAGUAUUAAUAGUGAUAGUGGAUUUAGUUUUAUGUAAAGUCUUAUAUUUAAAAUUUGUUAAUAAAAAAAAUAUAUAAAUAAAUGAUUUCAAUAUGAUAGUUAAAAAAUUAGUCAUCUUCAUUAAAAUAGUUUGUAGCAAAACUUUUAUAAGAUACUCUUGUACAUUUACAUACGUAUAUAGGAAAAAUAGACGCAAAACAAAACUUUAAUUAUUUUUUAUCAAUUCUUCUAACAACCCUCAUACUUAAAUUUAUAUUUUGAUCUUAAUUAAAUGAAUUGAAACACGGAUACAAUUUUAAUUUUUCAGUAGUAAGAAUAAGUUUUUUUAUAAUUAAUGAAAUUUUAAGUUUUGAAAAGAAAAAAUAAUCUUAUGCAAGUUGGUCCGUGGGUAAUUUCUUAUGCAGGGCGGGCCAAUGAAGUGAGUCGUACUCCUAGCGCGAGGCAGGCCAAUUGGACUCGCAUUUUGCGGGUCUAUGCGAUGCGGGCCAACCCGCAUUGCCACCCUACAUUGUCACCCCUAAUAUAAAGACAUCCUUCGAAGAGAAUAACAAAAAUAACCAUUAUUUUACAAGUGUUGAAACUGCUAAUUUUAUCAAUACCCUAAAAGCUUUGUAAAAAUACUAUUUAUGUUCAUCACAACAAACUAGUAGAGAGAGCAUAAAUCAUUGCAUAAAUCAAAAGACACUACCAUAUCUAGUAAAUAAAAAAAUAUGAUUUUUUGAUCAUAAAGACAUUAUUUGUAUCUCAAGCCAAGAAUGACUUUAUGUUUAAAGUGUAGGGACAACUGACUCUAUAAGGGAUUGAAUGAAGUUUGAACUCAAUUCACGAGUCUAAUAACAAAAUAAAAAUAACAUUUAACCGACAAAGGAAAUAAAACACAUAUUUAUGUUGGUUCACCCUAUCCCUUACGUUACAUCCAGUCCCUUUAAACAAACUACUUAAGAACUUUUCACUAAAUUAUUAAUAUUUAAUGUAGUUUCUAUUAUUAAUAUAAUUUUAUAAAAUAGUUUUUAAAUUUGUAUAUAAUUAGUAGUUACGUUUUUAGUUACUAAAUACUUUAUAUUUUAAAUAAGUUUAUUUUCAAUUUCUAAAUUAGUCUCUGUGCUAAAAUAAAGUAAUGUGAUAGAAAAUAUGGAAAUCGUUUCCACUAUUAUAUUAUAAAAAGGACUAUAAUAAUAUUAUUAUUAUUAUUAUUAUUUAGGUUUAAAUUUAUAAAAAUAAAAAUUAUAGUGCUCAUUAUUAUUAAUUCAUCGUUUAUUUUAUACAAUUUAUUAUUAGUUUAAAAGAAAAUGAUACAGUAAAUAAAAUGAUACUUAAUAUUAAAUCACUAAAUUAACAUUUAAUUAUCAAAAUCAUAUAUAAAUUUUAUUAAAUAAACUAAUACUAAUAAAUUUAACAUCACUACAAACUAUAUAAAAAAAAGUAAAAUCUCAGUCAAUUCAUAUAUAUUUUUAUAUAUAAAUCAUAAAAUAACAUGGAUGUGAGAUGUGGAAAUUAGAUUGAGUUUCCUUAUUGAGAACAAAACGUGUGUGGCGAAUAACAUCAGGAAUACCAAAUAUAGUGUGAAUCACUCCAAAUAGCAGUUAGGGUUUCAAUGUGUUCCCAAUGUCAAUCACAAAUCGAUAUUUAACAUCAGCUUUCACUAGUCUCUGCAUUGCUGUGUUCACAUAAUCCAUUGGAAUUACUUCAAUUUCUGGUCUAAUAUUGUGUUCAGCAGCAAAAUCAAUCAUUUCUUGUGUCUCCUUCAUUCCUCCAAUGUAACUACCUGCUACACUUUUUCUCCCUGCCAAGAACAUGCAAUAACACUCCUAAGCCUUACAAUAUAUAGAAAAUGUUGUGGCCAUAUCCAUCACUGAAAUGUAUUUGAAUUGUUACCCAAAAUUAAAGUGGGGAGUAGCAACUCCAGAGGCUUCUCUGGUGCCCCAACUGCCACCAGUGUCCCAUGAGACUUCAGUAGAUCAAUCAAAGGCAUCAGAGGAUGAACUGCAGAAACAGUGUCGAUUAUACCAUCCAAGGUGCAUAUUGCAGCCUACAUACACAGUUUCAGGAUUAUAUCAUAAUGCUUUCUCUCUCAACACUUUUCACUCUUUUUGGUUAAAAUCAAAGAGAUGAGUCAAACAAGAUUGUACUUAACUCAAUCCUAGAAAAUAAAUUACCUAUAAUGGUCCCACAGAAACAACAACAAUCAUAAUUUCAACUUAAUUCAAUUUCACUCGUAAAGUAAAAACUAUUUCACAUUUUGUAUGUUAUAUUAUUUUUAGGAAACUUUAGAGUAUUUUUUUUUUACUAAAAUGUAUAAUUUCCCCUUUUUUAUCCUAGUUUUUGGAAAUAUUAUGGAUUUGGAAAAAUCGUGUCAACAUGACACGACUUUUUUUAUAUUUCAAGGUAAAAUCGUAUUAAAGUGUCAUCACAACUAGUUAGAAUUGAAGUCAUAUCACUUUGUCGAUUUCACCUUGUCAUGAUUUUUUCACAAUAAAGUUGUAUCGACUAUUCAUGACACGUAAGAAAUAGAUGAAUAAUCAUCUGUUUUCGUAACAAAUUGAUUUUUUUUUUUCAGAAUCCUAUAAGAAUUUUUUUGUUGGAAAUCUUGCAAGAAUUACUCGUUCUUUUUUUCUCUAACAGAUGAUCAAAACUUCAUUUGAAUUUGAAUCGAAUCUCAUAAAUUGUCGAAAAAAGAACAAAAGAAACAUCUUACUCUUUCUAUAUGAUUAGAAAAAAAAAUAGUGAAUUUAUAGGACUUUUUCAUGUUGGUAAUUUUUUCACAAAAUUAACCCCAUUUUAGUAAAAAAACCCCAUUUAAGUAAAAAAUGGAGAAAAUUGUCUCACUUUCAUGAAAGUUCUUAUUAUGAAAAGCAUGGUGUGAAGGAAAAAAACAAAAUAGGCACCUUCAUUUGAUCUUGGUCUCUACUGACCAGAAAGGAAUCUGCUCCAAGAUGUUGAAUGGCUUCUUCUUUCUUAUUAGGAGAGGUACUAAUGACAGUGACCUUCAAACCAAGGGCUUUU